CUGAAGUGGGUGGGUAGUUUGAAGCACCGGGGUAAAUCUCAGGCUGUCCGGGAAGAGAAAACUGACUGUCUUACUCAAUCCCGGCUAUUUCUUCUGCAUAGUCAGCUCUCUCUUGACUGCUGCAUUACAACGGAACAUGAGUACACACAGCAUUGGAUUCUCAAGAGGGAAGACUAAAGGAAAGCAAAUGACAGGCUUCUCAUGUUGACCACAAGAAACCCUAAAUCCGAAGGCAGUCAUUUUGAUUUGAGUGCCUACAAGCACCUUUCACAUGUUUGGUCAAGAGAGCUUGAAAUGAGAACAAUUUAGUCAGUUGAACUCCAUCAAGUGGCAAGCCAAGCUCUAAGAGUUGACUUCCAAGAGCUAUGAACUCAGCGGCUUGGCUCCUUUAUUUGCUUGAGAAAAACAUGACAUUAAAGCAGCUUCCUAUUUGAGAGCUCCCGAAAUCAACUGCGAAGCCACCUGUGGGAGCUGAGUAUAUGUAUUGGUUUAUGUCAGAUAGUGAAAGGGCCUUACAAUUGUCUAAUUACUCAAAGGGCAGUUGAUGAUGAGCUAUUGAACCUUCUUCGUGUUGUGGUCCUUUGGGAUUGCAAUAAGCUGUCAUAGACUGUGUGUCUGUUCAAUAAAUGUCACACAUAUUUCCUGUCCAUGGGCACAGAGGAAAAUGUCAAGCUGAUGAUGUUGCUUGACUCCAGGAAAGAAAUCACACCUGCUUUGCUCUCCCUUCUCCAUCCACCCUACCAUUCACAAAUACGGAAGAUGUUUUAACCUCUUCUCUUGUGUAAAGUUUUCACACCUUAGCAGGAUUAUUGAUUCAUGGUUAAGUAGAAUGUAGUAUGUAUUUAUAGGCUACAUGUGCUGUCAUACUUUCAAAAGAAAAAAGCCAGGGACACUUCUGGCAAAGAUAUUCUUAAUCAUAAACAACAACAAAGGAUUGAAACAAUUCUCUGUGAUUGCCAGGGCCUUACUUUAUAUGAGCAGUAGAUCCUCUCAGGGGAAAUCUGAUACAGCCUGUUGGGGAAUCACUUCACUCCUUUUUCCCACAGUUCAACAUAUGGGGUAAGCAUUGCUCCCUCCAUCCCGCUGGCUCCCCCCUUUCCCCCCAUCGCCUACAGGAAGAGAGCCCUCGUAUCAAUCCCCUCAUUAUCCAAACCCACUGCCUGCUAAGGACAGUUAGAAGGUCAUCAGAUGUAGCAAGAGACUCAAGCACGGGGGGAAAAUGCCGAACAGGGAAGCCUGUCCUGGGAUGUUGAGGAUUCUUUGGGAGCUCUGGGUGUAUGGCAUGCAAAUGGACAGGCGCGUGAUGAUAGGUUUGCCAAAAGGAGAGGUCUUGAGUCACUUGCACUGACAUGGAUGCAACUUUGUAGAAUAAAGUCAUGGAAGAGAA